GGAGAGGUGGCCGAGUGGUUUAAGGCGGCGGUCUUGAAAACCGCUAGGGGUUAACAGCCCCUCAGGGGUUCGAAUCCCUUCCUCUCCG
rnacentral:tRNA from 1 species